CUCGCGAGAACUUGUAUACAGGACGUUCCUACACCGAUACUGAUUAAGGUUUAUUUUUUGCUCUUAGCUCAUCCGGUAAAGCAUUAAAAAUGUCUUUUUGUAGAUUUGUUGGUGGAGAAAUUUACAAGGAUCAUUUUAAACCAGGCAUAUAUGUGUGCUCCAAUUGCAACCAUCCUCUGUUCUCCAGUCGGUCCAAGUUUGCCCACUCGUCUCCUUGGCCGGCCUUCACCGACACGCUCAGGGAGGACAGCGUCACCAAACUGAUGGAGACUCUCACCGCCUUCAAGGUCCUGUGUGGGAAGUGUGGCAGCGGACUGGGUCACGAGUUCGUCAAUGACGGUCCGGUGGAGGGAAAGUCACGCUUUUGAAUAUUCAGCCACUCGCUAAAGUUCGUCCCCAAUAAAGAUAAAGACAAACAGUAAAGAGCGAGAUGGAAGCAUCCAGAACGUGUCCCAGUGAGGGGGACAGGUCAGCGGGUGACGUGGACGGGGGGAAAGGCCUGAGAAGGACGCCCUGACCACUGAAGAAUCUUUGACCAGGAGGGAGCCCCUUCCCAAACUUUACAUUCCAUCCGCUCCUCAUAUUCAUUCCUGUGAAGUUCUUUCAUGAAGCAUGAUUUUCAAACAACUAAUCAUUCCUCCUUAGAGUGUGCUUUAAUAUUCUGAACAGGAAGUGGACACAAACAAACAUUUGCACAAAUAAUAUCUAUGCACUAAAACCCAGAAUCUGCACAGAUUCUGGGUUUUUCAUGUUUUUGUUGCUUAUUUUCUUUGCAUUGAUCAGCUAAGACACAAAGAUUUUAUCUUGUACUUCUAUGCUUUGAUGCUUGUUUGAAAGAAAACUACAAAUAAAACCAAAUUCUCUGUCA